GGAGAUUCCUCCAACAAGGAGGACACUGUCACUCCUAGUCAUCUUAAGCACAGCCCUUGUCAGUGGGAACCAAUCAAACAUUUCCUGUGCCAUCCCAGCAAGAUGUAUGUCUCUUUGGAAGGGGAUAGAACACAUGGAGGAGGACUUGGGAGGUCCUCUAGUUCUAUAAAUUAGGGAUUUCCUUUAUCAGUCUUUUACAAAGGAAAAAUAUAUUUAAUUAAAAACAACAUUGAGCAUCAAUGCAAACAACUAAAUUUAUUUAGUUGGUAUUUAAAUUUAAAUGAUUUUCAUGCAAAAAAUAUUUAAAAAAAAAUUCAUGUUCCCUCUAAGUUCCCAUUAGGAUUUUUAAGGAUUCCUGCUCUUAUUUCACUACUUUUACUUGGAAUAGUUAUGAAAAAAAAUCUAGCAAAUGCAAUGAGACAGGGAAAAUAUAUCAACAAGAUUAAUUUUUAGAAAUGAUGAAACCAAAAUAUCAUUUGCAGAUGACAUGAUGGUGUUACCUAGGAAAUCAAUCACCUAAGCUCAGAGUCAUUUUAGAACCAAAAAUUUGCUGUUAUCUGAAAAUCUGGUAAAGCAAUGACCAUUUUCAAUCACCAAACUCCUGACACUUCCUCUGGGACUCUUACCUCCCUUUUCCUGUCCCUUUUAGGUUGUUCAGAAGUUUCAGAACAUCUUCCAUGAACAACAGAGAUUGAAAAUAUUUCCAGCCUAUGAUGUCAAGGUGGCUAAAGUUGAUAUCCAGGAUUUAUUAAAACCUAGCAUGACUUUCAAAAAGACAGCCAACUGGAUUCCUUUCAUAAAGGCGCAAAGUAAAUUUCUAGUAUGUCAGGCUGCUAAGCUGACAGGUCACUACUCCCAUUCCUGGACUAGAUUCCCACAAGUUGUGGGGAAAAUCCGAUGCAGAUUCUAGGUAAGCUCUUGGUCUUUUAUCUUGGGCUCAUAGGCUUCUAACUCUAGAGCUUGGAAAUGGCUUCAGAGGCCAUCUAAUUUAACAUCUUUAUUCUACAGAUAAGUCUUAAGUUCCAGAGAAGUCAAGGGAUUUUCUUAAAAUCACACAGAUAGUGAGCACCAGAAUUGGGAUUGAACCCAACAUGCACGUAUUUGUGAGUCAUAAUGUGCAUGUGUCUGUACCAGUUCUUGUAUCUGUCUGUUAGCAUGUCACUUAUACACAUCAGUACU
rnacentral:lncRNA from 1 species